GGAGAGAUGCCUGAGUGGCCGAAAGGGGCGGUUUGCUAAACCGUUGUACGGGUAACACCGUACCGGGGGUUCGAAUCCCCCUCUCUCCGCCA
rnacentral:tRNA from 1 species